UCCAAGCAAUUACAAAUAAAUGAGUAUUAAUAACAAUUUUUCACAUUUACACGCUAUUUACACGCUAGGGAUCUGAAAGGGAGGGUUUAGAGAAUACAAACAACUAAUCUUUCUCAUCUUAUUUUCAUUCCUCCUCUCAAUGUCCAAUUUUUUUUCCUUCAACCUCCAGUUGAAAAAAUUUACAAUCUGUGAAAACCCUCCUUCUUCUUCUUCUUUUUUUUUAUUUUCCAUACCAAUACUAAUUUAUAUAGUUGUGGUGUUUGUUUCUGUUUCCAGAUCCAAAAGCCAUAACACUCAACUUCACCGGCAAAGCCAUAACAUGUCGUGGAUGCUCCGGCAACAACGAAAGUCACAAGAAAGUUUAUGAUUUGGCUUUAUUUGAGUUGAUAUAUUUAUGUUGAUUCUUGCUACGGGAUGAUUUAUUGGGUUUACACCUAUUGUUCAAAUAUUGUUCUAUUUUGCAUCUACUCACUGACAGUUAAUAUUAGUAUUUGAAUUCUUCAAUUGGAGAUGCAAAAUCAGAGAUCUUCAUAAUAGGUUGGUGGCCUUUUAUGGGAAAAAAAGCUAAAUUAAGGUGGGAAUGCUUCUUUGACUAUGAAAUUUCCUUUGUCAUCUGUGUAUACAUUCACAUGAGUAUUUUUCUGCAAAUAUGUUGUCUUCAUUUUUUUUUUCCGAAUGAAUCAUUUUGAAAGGUUUUUCUUUCUUUAAUUGAAUCAAUAUCC